UAAAGCGUGCUAUCUUUUUAAUCACAAAAACAACACUUAACAAGUGUGCUCUAAAAUAAAGAAAAAGAUUUCAUCAAAAAUUUUCCUCAAUUAUUUCUUUCAGUAAAUUUUUUCCCUAUUUUGAAAGGGCAAAAGAAAGAACCAUCGAAGUCUUCACCCUCUCUAUAGACCCGUUAAAAUCUCCAUCUCCACCACUAAGCCGCUUGGUUCCACCGGUACCAAAUCCAGCAUCCCUGAAAUUUUCUUCUCCAUUGACCCAAUAUAUGCGUCUAAGAAAGAGAAAAUUUCAGCAUUCAAAAGUGCACUUAUAUUUCAUCUUCUUGUGGACUAGCAAACAUUGAGCAAGCAUACAGAUAUUGAGCAGCAUUUAGUGCAGUGUUUGGAAAGGAGCAGCCUGGUCGAAUACGAUGGUAUGGUAGAUCAAUGACAACAAGUACUCUGAAAAAAGAUGAGGAAAUCAGCAAGCUCCAAUAAAAGCAUAACAAUGAAGUCUCUACUUUGAAAGAAGAAAUGCAAGAAAUGAGAGAAGAAAUGUAAGAAUUGAGGCAAUUGCGUCAUUGCUUUAAUCUAUUGGUGCAAAACAAUCCUGGACUAAAUGUUCAAGAUAUACCAGCAUCUGUUGGAUCUAACCAACCUUCUCCAGUUGAUGUAAGUAGCGCACAGGCUGUAAGAGGCCAAAAUCUUCCACACUCUUUUGGAUCAACCCAUAGGAAUUCGUGAAAAGUUUCUUUUUAUGUGUAGGAGAAUGUGGGUGAUGCAAUUCAAAAUGGUGGCGGAAAGUCAAUUUGAUCUUAAUGUGAAUGCAAAGAAUUUUUGAAUAAUUAGGAUGUCUAAUAUUCAUGAUACUAUAUGAAUAUAUUCACUUUUGUAAAGUUUAUUAUUAAUGGGCAUUUUGACUCAUUAUUUUAUUAGUAUGUGUAUUCAUUUGCAUU